UUUUUCCUCACGCUCUCUCUCUCAAAAUUUCCCCAACAACCUUCUUUCUCUCUUUUCUCUCUACAACAUCCUCUCUUAUCUCUCUACAGCAACCUUCUUUCUCUCUUUUUUCUCUUUCUGCUUCUCUCUUGCUUCCAUAUCCCUCUUCCUUUUGCUCUUCUUCUUCUUCUCCCUUCUUUCUCUUUUGUUAUCUGAAACUCUUCCUUUUGCUCUUCUUCUUCUUCUCCCUUCUUUCUCUUUUGUUAUCUGAAACAAUAAUGAUGUCCGAAUCGGUUUACGGUGUGCGAAUCGAUUGGAUUCUGAUUUUUUAGGGUUUCAAAUAGUGAAAAUCGGUUAUAAAGUUAGGUUUUUAAUUUGUUGUUUGGGUUUUAGUGGUUUAUUUGAUGAUUUUGUGGUUUGUUUUUCAGGAUAUAGACUGGAUUGAGUUUUACCGCUGAGUUAUGAAGCUAACUAGGUUAUAGACUGAAUCGAAUUUUACCGCUGAGUUUGAAGCUAACAAGGUCUGAAUAAACACCAGUUCAAACGUAACAACUGUUAUCGCCUUUGUGAAGUUAGCGCUGACCAAUUUCUUGCAGAAAUUGAAGAGAAGCUGAGGAGUUUGUUUCUAACAAGUGGGCUUUUUCCAGGGGGGAAGAUUCGCCGGCGGUGCUUGCAAAGUGUUCGCCUCUGAUACCAUUCACGUUGCGGAUGUAAGAAUUAAAAGCGGAAGAACACUGCCGCGUCAUUGGCGUGUUUUCAGAAGCGGAUAUGUGGUGUCAGAGUUAUUGUCAAGUUGCAUAUCAAGAAAAAGAAUCCUUCAAUUUCGCUUCAACAAGUUGGGGCUGCUGGGCCAAUCUUGCUCGGUUUUGCACCUCCUUCCACUCUUUCAGCCUCCAGCUCAUCCAAGGCCUCAUGCUGUGUUUUUGCUGGAACUGAAUGUAAUCAAAGGUCUUGAAAGCAUUGCCUAGGAUAAUGCAAUGUUCAGCAAGUCAUCAUGGGAUGCAAAUUUUAUUGGUUCAGAUAAAGUUGACAUUCAACUUCCAGCUGCCGAUGAUAUUCAACCGGAGGACCCUUACAUCGCCAGGAUCUAUUCUACUUUUUUGGCAUUGCUGGAGGUAAGUUGAUCAAAAGGCUCUGUAAAAUGUGUUUUGAGAAGGUAGUUCACGUGGAAGUAAGUUGGUUUGAUAAAGCUGAGCAUUCAAGUGGAGCAAUUGGUGCAAAGCUUUCUACUGACGCAACUUCGAUUCAAGCUUUGGUUGGCGAUGCACUUGGCUUACUGGUUGAAAAAUAUUGCUACAGCUAUAGCUGGCUUGGUAAUUGCUUUUGUAGCUAGCUGGCAGCUUGCUCUUAUAAUCCUUGCCAUGGUGCCUCUCCUAGCCCUAAAUGGACUUUUGCAAGUGAAGUUCUUGAAAGGGUUCAACACUGAUGAAAAGCAAGUCAAGUGGCGAAUGAUGCAGUAGGGAGUAUACGAACAGCUGCUUCUUUCUGUUCUGAAGAGAAAAUGAUGGAAUUAUAUAAGCGAAAAUGCGAGGGACCAAUUAAGACUGGAAUAAGGCGAGGGAUAGUAAGAGGAUUUGGUUUUGGAGUAUUUAAGAAGUGGUUCCUCACAAGAGGAUUUAGAGGAUGUGCAUAGAGUGAACCCUGGAACUAUUGAAAAACUUGUAUUUCCAUCUGUUAGUAAAUUAGAUCCUGAAAUUUAUGGUCCAUUAGAGUCUGCUCUUAAAGACAUGAAACAUGUGCUUAUGUCAAACCACUCUUUAGGAAAUGACUUUGAGACAUGAAACAUGUGCUUCUGUCAAACAACUCUUUAGCCAUAUAUUUAUAUCUCACUGACUUAGAAACAUAUACUUCCAAAGUUCCAACGUCGCAUCAUGUUAUAUACAGCAUAUACUCCACACAAAUAGAGAGGGCAGGUUUGUAGAUUUGGUUGAAAUAAAAUAUGCAAACCAGAAAGGAGAUAUCAGGAUUGUUCAUGAACUUCCCAAGAAUUUGGACAUGUGUACAGUGUAUUUUCGGACAUAUCCUUAGAUGCAUAUCUUAUCCUUUUCUAAUGUUAUCUUCUUUAUUGGGCAUGUGUACAGUGUAUUUUCGGACAUAUUCGAUGAGUUUCAUUUCAUUGAAUCCCUGAAAGGAGAUAUCAGGAUUGUUCAUGAACUUCCCAAGAAUUUGGAAGCUGCCCCCAGGCUAGGAAACACUUCACUUCCUGGGCUGGAGUUGGUUACUAUGAAGAGAUGACAAAGUUAUGGAAUGAGUAUCAGGGAGUUCUUCCUCUAUGAUGAGCAACUUUUGUUGGUCCUUAUUUUCUGCACAAGGCUUCAUUUUAAAACUGGCUAAUCAGUAAACAUACUUUUGCUUGCUUUAUCUCAAAUAGCUCCCUGUGAAAAUUAAUACUUCAACUUUCUUGUAUAUACUUCUGAAUAUUUCUAUUUGUGAAAGUAGCAGUAUGACUAGACACUGGUCACCACGAGAGACACCUUCUUGCUCCAAUCCACCUCUUUAAUUAGCCAAUACAAAGACUUAAAGAAAAGGAAAUGGUUGAAAGGCUAGCUGGCAGCUCAAUGUAAAAUGUAAAUAUAUUUUCACAUGAGUACGAAUAUGGGGAUUGCAUGUUUAUUCAAUAGUUCAUGUAGUUAGACCUUAGUACUUUUACCUCAU